AUUUUCAUUCCCCCCAACACUUGGUAUUUUUCAGACAAAAAACUCUCGAACCCUACCUAAUAACGACUCCCACUUUGACUACGCAGCUCCUUCACCUUGGUCGACCUCAUUCUCCUUGACCUCGUUCUCCCCGACCUCGAUCGUUCUACGACCUGAGCUCGUUCUCCGACCCGACCUCGUCCUUCAACGACCCGAGCCACCUUGAGCUCCUUCACUGACCCAGAACCGCCUCGAGCUCCUUCAAUGACCUGACCAUGAACUCAUUCUCCCACUUGAUCUCGUCAUUGUCCGACCUGAGCCGGAUCGAGGAAGUUCUCCGACCGCCACCAGCGUAGUGGGGAGUUUGAAGGCUAGGACCUAUUAAUUUGGAAUCAAAGAAGUAAAAUCAAAAUGCCGUGAAACAGGAACUGUGUUGUUUGGUGGUGUUGCUCCGCGCCAUACCGUAAUUGUAUUCACUCGGCGUCGGAGAAGAAGCUCGCGAACCCCAUGAGGGAAAUCAAGGUCCAGAAGCUCGUCUUCAAAAUCUCCAUCGACAAGAGCAGUGAUCGUCUCACUAGGGCUGCCAAGGUCUUGGAGUAAGGGUGUGGAACUGUUGCUACUGGACGCAUUGAACAAGGGUGCAUUUAAGUUGGUGAGGAAGUCGAGAUUCUGGGGUUACAUCAGGUGUGUAUAUAUAUCCGCUUUUUAAAUUAUGCGAUGCCCUUGAAGUCAGGGGAACAGGAAUUCCUUAUGUCUUUACCCCAUGUAUUACGCAGGUUUGCAGGGAUCCAAGAUGGGGGUAGUUGCUAUGAAAGAUAGAGUGACGAAGAUCAUAAGAUUGUCCAAGCAAUGACUGAGAUCAUACCUGGUUUGCAAGGAGAUAUGUCUCCCAGUUUCCAAAAGGGUGCUCCUCAUGUUGGUGGAAAAAUCUUCGCAAGAGCUGCUCAAAAGAAUUCCAAAAUAGGAGAGCAGUUUAUAUUGUUUUGAUGUUUGUUUGCUAUUCUUCUCCAUUAUUUGUUAAUGUUUCUUUUAUUUUUCUUGCUUUACAGUCUUCAGGUCUGCAGUUUGAAUUCUUGGGUGCUUAUCUUGCGGAACUAAGUUUACUUGACUACUGCUGUGUUCGAUUCCUACCAUCAGUUAUUGCUGCAUCAGCAGUUUUUCUUACAAGGUUCACAAUCCAGCCUGAGGUUCAUCCUUGGUGGCAACUAUGGUGGAGCCUUGGGCGCCAAUGCUUUAGCUAAAGGACUUGAGGGGAACAAGCUAGUCUUUAAGGGAACUUCAUUUACACGGAAAUUCUAUUGGAGAUGAAGGAGUCAAUGCUUUGAUGUCAGGUUUAGCCUUACAUAAAGGUAAAAUGACGCUUUUAGACAUUGGCAACAACUUAACUAGCGCAAAGGUGCUUUUCAUGUUGGUGGAUGUAUCAAAAAGACAGAGCUUGCUAUGGUUGAACUUUUAGAUCGAUGAAUGACAUAGGGAACGAGGCUUCUCUGGUGCAAAGUUGGAAGAUCUUCAAGAAUUUUUAGACAAUAUGAAAACAAUGUGAACUAUCCAUAUGAUUUCUUCAGUCUUGUAGCGCACCUAAUUCGCACCUUUUUGUGGUAGAUGAAGUGACUGUAGCAAUUGUGAACAAAACUGCAAUAGAAAUUGCUAGGCUCUUGUAGUAGGUUAAUUGGGGUUAUAUUUUGCCUAUUUUGUGAACCAUCAAGGAUAAUGAUUUUGGACAUAAUACUCCAAUAUUUAAAUUACUUUUGUCAAA